AAAUGGACUCUCAGCAACGGAUCUCUUGGCUCUUGC
rnacentral:rRNA from 1 species